AGGGUUUGAUCAUGGCUCAGAUUGAACGCUGGCGGCAGGCCUAACACAUGCAAGUCGAACGGUAACAGAAAGAAGCUUGCUUCUUUGCUGACGAGUGGCGGACGGGUGAGUAAUGCUUGGGAAUUUGCCUUGAGGUGGGGGACAACAGUUGGAAACGACUGCUAAUACCGCAUAAUUGCUACGGCACAAAGGGGGCUCCGGCUCUCGCCUUUAGAGAAGCCCAAGUGGGAUUAGAUAGUUGGUGGGGUAAUGGCCUACCAAGUCAACGAUCCCUAGCUGGUCUGAGAGGAUGAUCAGCCACACUGGAACUGAGACACGGUCCAGACUCCUACGGGAGGCAGCAGUGGGGAAUAUUGCACAAUGGGGGAAACCCUGAUGCAGCCAUGCCGCGUGUGUGAAGAAGGCCUUCGGGUUGUAAAGCACUUUCAGCGAGGAGGAAGGGUUAGUAGUUAAUACCUGCUAGCUUUGACGUUACUCGCAGAAGAAGCACCGGCUAACUCCGUGCCAGCCGCCGCGGUAAUAC
rnacentral:rRNA from 1 species